UACGUAGGGGGCAAGCGUUGUCCGGAUUUAUUGGGCGUAAAGAGCGUGUAGGCGGCCAGAUAGGUCAGCUGUGAAAACUCGAGGCUCAACCUCGAGACGCCGGUUGAAACCAUCUGGCUAGAGUCCGGAAGAGGAGAGUGGAAUUCCUGGUGUAGCGGUGAAAUGCGCAGAUAUCAGGAGGAACACCGAUGGCGAAGGCAGGUCUCUGGGCCACUACUGACGCUGAGAAGCGAAAGCAUGGGGAGCGAACAGG
rnacentral:rRNA from 1 species